UACGUAGGGGGCAAGCGUUGUCCGGAUUUAUUGGGCGUAAAGAGCGUGUAGGCGGUCCGGUAAGUCCGCUGUGAAAGUCGGGGGCUCAACCCUCGAAUGCCGGUGGAUACUGUCGGGCUAGAGUGCGGAAGAGGCGAGUGGAAUUCCUGGUGUAGCGGUGAAAUGCGCAGAUAUCAGGAGGAACACCGAUGGCGAAGGCAGGUCUCUGGGCCACUACUGACGCUGGAGAAGCGAAAGCAUGGGGAGCGAACAGG
rnacentral:rRNA from 1 species